rnacentral:rRNA from 1 species
AUUGAACGCUGGCGGCAGGCCUAACACAUGCAAGUCGAACGGUAACACGAAGAGGCUUGCUGCCUUGCUGACGCGUCGGGCACGGGAGUGACAUGUCUGUGAAACUGCUAGAUGGCGGGGGUUAACUCCGGGAAACGGAAGUAAUAACCGCAUAUCGACGCAAGACCAAGGAUCGGGAGUUACGGGCCUCUUUGCUGUGGAUGUGACCAGGUGGCAUUAGCUAGUAGGUAGGGUAACGGGUUACCUAGUAGACGAUCCCUAGCUGGUCUGAGAGGAUGAACAGCCACACUGGAACUGAGGCACGGUCCAGACUCCUACGGGAGGCAGCAGUGGGGAAUAUUGCACAAUGGGCGCAAGCCUGAUGCAGCAAUGCCGCGUGUAUGAAGAAGGCCUUCGGGUUGUAAAAUACUUUUAUCAGGGAGGAAGAAAGUAAAGUUAAUCCCUUCACGUAUUGACGUUACCCGCAGAGGAAGCACCGGCUAACUCCGUG